UAGAGUUUGAUCCUGGCUCAGAUUGAACGCUAGCGGGAUGCCUUACACAUGCAAGUCGAACGGCAGCACGGACUUCGGUCUGGUGGCGAGUGGCGAACGGGUGAGUAAUGUAUCGGAACGUGCCCAGUAGCGGGGGAUAACUACGCGAAAGCGUAGCUAAUACCGCAUACGCCCUACGGGGGAAAGCAGGGGAUCGCAAGACCUUGCACUAUUGGAGCGGCCGAUAUCGGAUUAGCUAGUUGGUGGGGUAACGGCUCACCAAGGCGACGAUCCGUAGCUGGUUUGAGAGGACGACCAGCCACACUGGGACUGAGACACGGCCCAGACUCCUACGGGAGGCAGCAGUGGGGAAUUUUGGACAAUGGGGGAAACCCUGAUCCAGCCAUCCCGCGUGUGCGAUGAAGGCCUUCGGGUUGUAAAGCACUUUUGGCAGGAAAGAAACGUCGUGGGUUAAUACCCCGCGAAACUGACGGUACCUGCAGAAUAAGCACCGGCUAACUACGUGCCAGCAGCCGCGGUAAUACGUAGGGUGCAAGCGUUAAUCGGAAUUACUGGGCGUAAAGCGUGCGCAGGCGGUUCGGAAAGAAAGAUGUGAAAUCCCAGAGCUUAACUUUGGAACUGCAUUUUUAACUACCGGGCUA
rnacentral:rRNA from 1 species